AUUGGGCGUAAAGAGCUCGUAGGCGGUGUGUCGCGUCGGCCGUGAAAACUUGGGGCUUAACUCUGAGCGUGCGGUCGAUACGGGCAUCACUUGAGUUCGGCAGGGGAGACUGGAAUUCCUGGUGUAGCGGUGAAAUGCGCAGAUAUCAGGAGGAACACCGGUGGCGAAGGCGGGUCUCUGGGCCGAUACUGACGCUGAGGAGCGAAAGCGUGGGGAGCGAACAGGAUUAGAUACCCUGGUAGUCCACGCCGUAAACGUUGGGCGCUAGGUGUGGGGACCAUUCCACGGUUUCUGUGCCGCAGCUAACGCAUUAAGCGCCCCGCCUGGGGAGUACGGCCGCAAGGCUAAAACUCAAAGGAAUUGACGGGGGCCCGCACAAGCGGCGGAGCAUGUGGAUUAAUUCGAUGCAACGCGAAGAACCUUACCUGGGUUUGACAUGCACAGGAUCGCGGCAGAGAUGUCGUUUCCCUUGUGGCCUGUGUGCAGGUGGUGCACGGCUGUCGUCAGCUCGUGUCGUGAGAUGUUGGGUUAAGUCCCGCAACGAGCGCAACCCUUGUUCCAUGUUGCCAGCACGUAGUGGUGGGGACUCAUGGGAGACUGCCGGGGUCAACUCGGAGGAAGGUGGGGAUGACGUCAAGUCAUCAUGCCCCUUAUGUCCAGGGCUUCACACAUGCUACAAUGGCUCAUACAGAGGGCUGCGAGACCGUGAGGUGGAGCGAAUCCCUUAAAGUGAGUCUCAGUUCGGAUCGGGGUCUGCAACUCGACCCCGUGAAGUUGGAGUCGCUAGUA
rnacentral:rRNA from 1 species